rnacentral:rRNA from 1 species
AGAGUUUGAUCCUGGCUCAGAACGAACGCUGGCGGCAUGCCUAACACAUGCAAGUCGAACGAAGCCUUCGGGCUUAGUGGCGCACGGGUGCGUAACGCGUGGGAAUCUGCCCUUGGGUUCGGAAUAACAGUUAGAAAUGACUGCUAAUACCGAAUGAUGUCUUCGGACCAAAGAUUUAUCGCCCAAGGAUGAGCCCGCGUCGGAUUAGCUAGUUGGUGAGGUAAAAGGCUCACCAAGGCGACGAUCCGUAGCUGGUCUGAGAGGAUGAUCAGCCACACUGGGACUGAGACACGGCCCAGACUCCUACGGGAGGCAGCAGUGGGGAAUAUUGGACAAUGGGCGAAAGCCUGAUCCAGCAAUGCCGCGUGAGUGAUGAAGGCCUUAGGGUUGUAAAGCUCUUUUACCCGGGAUGAUAAUGACAGUACCGGGUGAAUAAGCCCCGGCUAACUCCGUG